CAGCUGUGGGUGCCUUUUCGUGCCCCCCCCCAGGGGGAGUUGGGGGAUUUCUCAUUUCUCCCCCCACCCCCCCCCCGUGUGGGCCCCCCAUCUUUCCCCCCCCCCCCCCGCCGGGGCGGGGCCAUCCCCUCCUGCUCCCCCAGGUGCUGGGCCAUCACCCCCCCCCCCCCCCCCCGGUGCUGAGCCAUCACCCACCCCACCCACCCCCACCCCCCGGUGCUGAGCCAUCACCUCAGGGAGGUGCUGAGCCGCAGAGUUAGCUGGAAUGGGACCCCCAGGAAGGCGGUGGGAGUGGGGUGUUCAGGGGUCUGUUUGCAAAGGACCAGAGAAGUCCUGGGUCGGUGCAGCUCCUUUUGCCUCAGAGGGGUGGUGGAGGCAGUGGUGGGUGGGUGGGGAGCUCGGGGGAGCCCUCCCUCUGGAGCCAGAUCUGGGGCAGAGGGGCGCCCUUGCUUUGCUCUGCAUAGAGGGGCGCAGGCGGCUGCCAGGUGUGCCCGGGGUCGCCCCCGCGCUGGGACCUCUACGCUGCUGCCCCGUGAGCACAGGCUGAUCCCCGCAGCCACGCGUGCUGGGCCUGGGCCUGGGCCGCGGCUGUGGCCCUUCUGUGGCUCGGGGGCAUCGGGGCCCAGCGUGAGCUCAAGAGGCCACAGAAAGCCUCCGAGCGGAUGGAGCCCCCAGCGCCACUGCUGCUCACGGCGAGGGCUGCCAGCUCCCUCCGAGGUACGCACAGCAGCAGGGGCGCGUGAGGGUGCAGCUGGGCUGGGGCUUGGGGCCGCCUCCCUGCAGGCCCUGGGUGCAUCUGGGUGGGCAGCCCGGGUCAUGGCUGUGGGGCCUGGGAAGGGAGCUUGGGGAGGGGGAGGGGCGUUGGGAGCCUGCUGGGCUGGGCUGGCACUGGGAGGCGCUCCUGACCUGGAGACCUGUGGCCUGCAAGUCCCAGCACCUGCUGUUGCUCUGGGGUCCAUCUGUUUCAGGCACGUGCCCUCUUGGGCGGUUUCUUCACUGCUAGGACCCGGGCCAGGGACAGUGGCAUCCGGGCAGGCCCAGCCCACGCAUCCCGCGGAGCCGGAGGCCCCAUUUCCCAGACAGGCUGGCCCAGGGGGGUGUGGGCUGUGGCUGGCCCUGGGCAGGUGUGUGGGCACCGUGGGGGUCCUUGGUGGAGGUGAGAGUCUUGCCCCUACUGGCCACCUGGACGGGGUUCUAAGGCCUCCCCUGAGGUGGUGCCUGAGCUGGGAGACUGCUGAGGGCAGCUCCUGGAGCCAUUGCCCUGGUGGGAGGACCUGCCUGUGUCCCCGCCCAUGCUCUGAGCUGCCCAGGCGCCAGGCCCUGCCCCUGCCCGCCCUAGCUUUGGAUCUUGGGGGAGGUCACAGGUUCUUCUGUCUCCUGUCUGGGAGCAGCAGGGAGGAGCCUGUGAGGCCCAGGGGACAGAGUUCUAGCUCUGUCCAUCUGUGCCUGCAGCCCCUAGAGGCCUCAGAUGCCCACGACACUGCUGAGCCUCGCCCCUCUGCCCAGACCACGGGCCACCAAGGAACCGUGCCGAGGCUGGGACAAGAAGCUGUGAGGCCCCCCGUGCAGAGGUCGCGCUGCAGGCCGUGCUGUGGGAUUCCAGGAGGCACUGAGAGGGCAAGUGGGCGGCUGGCGGCCGAGGCCUUGCACUGCCGGCCGAAGGGCCCCGUGCGCGUGGAUGAGAAGGUGCUGGGGGGACUGCGUGGCUUCCAGGCUGUGAAUGGGGCGUCCACUGCCGGUGCCUGCGCCUCCGGGGAGCAGGGACUGAGUCGGGGCCCCGUGAGGCGAGUGGGGCCCAGACGCCUCUGGACAGUGGCUGGGAACAUGUGCACAGCGGGGUCAGGGCGGCUCAGGGCUGUGAGGCCUGGCAUUGGCCCUGCCUCGCCCCCUGUGAGAGCCAGGCCAGGACGGGUGUGCCCAGCGGGCAGGGCCAGGCAGGCCACGGUGCAGCUCACUGCAGGCCCUCAGCCCCACCGCCCAGGGCGCCUUCGCGAGGCCCCGUUCUGA
ensembl:lncRNA